AACCAGGUCCAACUCCAGCAGUCACACAUGCUGGAGAACUGUUUUCCUAGGAAGACUGUCCGCUGGCAGGGCAGAGGAAGAGAAACUUUUGCUACCUUCCCCAAGAGAGCUGCGACAGGUGUGAGGGCGCCCAGACAAGAGGGCAUCACUUUAUUGGGAAGUUCACAACUUCGGGUCAAGAACACCGGCCUAGGAGGCAGGGAAUUAACUGCCUGCGGGUACUCUCCAGCACGCGGCCAUUCAUUCCUGCAACCAACGGUCACAGAAGGCUAGGUUUUAAGGCAGAGGUUCCUGUGUCCCCCGACAUCCUGACCACCACGGGGGCUCAAUAAAUCUAUUGAAUGAACCCUUGCACUGACUGGUGCUAAGACCGGAAGUAAAGUGACAGAGGACACUAAAAAGGCAGCUAAGGUGUACGGAGCGCACUCGGCCAGUGCAUCGUCACGAUUCGUGUGGGUUUGGGUAGUGUCCCACCCCAGGAGCUGGCCUUGUCCGGCGGGCGGGCGGGCGGCCGGCGGGCACGCGCACAAGGCGCAGGCGCGAGGAAGGCCGCGGCCUGAGGCGAGCCAGGCCAGCCAAGUCUGAGGGGCAGCUGAAGAGGACGCCGUGCUGGACAGAGCUCGGCACCCCGUGUGGGCCCAACAGGCUGAUGGGACCACAGUUCCUGCAGUCCAGGAAGCCGGGCCCGCCGGAGGACUGACCUUCCCGGAGGUGCCGUCCCCCAGCACGACGAUUUUCAGUUGCCGGUCCUGGCUCUCCUCCUCAGAGUCUGACAUGGUGUCCGAGGAUGCUGGCCCGCCCCCGAGGUGGAGGACGGGAAAGAGGAGGCCUCCGGGGGCGGGGGUGAAGAGGCCAGCAGGCUGCACGAGCGGGUCCCCCGCCCCGGCGUCUCCUCAGCCCUGAAGGAACCCAGGGAGAAUCACUCGCCGGCCGCCAUCUUGCCCUCCUCCCCUCCCCGACCCCAGCAGGGCUCCGCCCCCGGAAAGCCCCGCCCCGUACGUCACUGAAAAGAUGCCCCGCCCUGCGCCAACCAUCACGGUGUAAUGGGGGAAAACGUAGAGUCAGACUAGUCGUCCCGGUUUGCUCGCGGGGAACAUUGGCUAGGAAACAAAAGCAAGCGUUUCUUUAUAGUUUAGUGAAACCAAAUUAAAGCAGAGUAUCUCUCGGCCGUUCUAUCCUUCUUUCUUGUUUCCAUGAGGCCCAAGGACAUAACUCAUAUGAGUGAAUUAGUCCAAGGGGUUAGGUUGCCAUGGAAGCCUGGAGCCAGGAAGAGGCACAGGGGCGGGGUCUGUCUCUGGGCAGCGGGGGACGCUUCGGGCUGCUCCUCCCCUGGAUCCUUCCUGCGGUGAAGAGGCAGAUAUUGUGGAGCAACGGGAAUUGGAGCCUUUCAUCUUUCCACACACAGGUCGUCUUGAGUAUGACACUUUGAGUUUAAUGCCUGAGUGUGGGUAGGAAGAUAUUUACUGGAGCACGAGCAGAGCGUGAACAGAAGUCGGUGGCUACACUAUUGAGGAAAAUGAGGCCUUCUCCCUCGAUAACUGCCAAUAGUCCCUCAAAGAGGGUGUCUCAUGGACCCAUUCCCCAUCCACGGUGAAGUAAUAGUCUACCUAAUCUUGUACGUGUCUAGUGCAGGUAAUCAUGGCUGCUGUGAGUUCUUGAGUACAGUGGCUAUGUCAUGUCUAGACGUUAUCUUUCUGUUGUCCAUCUCCCUAUCCUCUGGCUCUUAAGUUCUUCACAUGCCUGCUUCAGGGAUGCUUCCUGAGCCUAGCAGGGAGUGAUAUAGCCAUCACAUUUAGGGACAUGCAUUUCACCAUCACUUAAUUCUUAUCCCUUUAGCCAGUUAUUUAAUAUAAUAUUGAAUAAAAGAAUUUGGACACAA